AGUCUCAGAGUGAUCACUGGCGGCAGACCUUAUACAUGCUAGUCGAACGGUAACAGGAGAAAAGCUUACUUUUCUAGCGGUCGAGUGGCGCAUGGGUGAGUAUCAUUUUGGAAAGUGCCUGAUAGAGGGGGACAACAGUAGGAAAUGACAAGUAAUACCGCAUAAAUCUUGAGGGGUAAAACAGCAAUGCGCUUUCAGAUGGGCCCAAGCGGGAUUAGCUAGUAGGUGAGGUAAAGGCUCACCUAGGCGACGAUCUGUAGCUGGUCUGAGAGGGUGAUCAGCCACAUUGGGAAUGAGACACGGCCCAAACUCUUACGGGAGGCAGCAGUAGGGAAUAUUGCACAAUGGGGGAAACCCUGAUGCAGCCAUGCCGCGUGUGUGAAGAAGGCUUUCGGGUCGUAAAGCACUUUCGGCGGGGAAGAAAAUGACGUUACCCUCAUAAGAAGCCCCGGCUAACUACGUGCCAGCAGCCGCGGUAAUACGUAGGGGGCAAGCGUUAUUCGGAUUUACUGGGUGUAAAGGGCGCGCAGGCGGUUUUACAAGUAGGAUGUGAAAUCCCCGGGCUCAACCCCGGGCUUGCAUUGGAAACUGUACAACUAGAGUACUGCAGAGGAGACGGAAUUCCAGGUGUAGCGGUGAAAUGCGUAGAUAUCAGGAGACCACCAGUGGCGAAGGCAGUCUCCUGGACAACUACUGACGCU
rnacentral:rRNA from 1 species